AUUGAACGCUGGCGGCAGGUCUAACACAUGCAAGUCGAACGAGUGGCGGACGGGUGAGUCAUGUCUGGGAAAAUGCAUGAUGGAGGGGGAUAACUACUGGAAACGGUAGCUAAUACAGCAUACCAUCAGAUGUGCCCAGAUGGGAUUAACGAGUUGGUGGGGUAACGGAUCACCAAGGCGACGAUCCCUAGCUGGUCUGAGCGGAUGACCAGCCACACUGGAACUGAGACACGGUCCAGACUCCUACGGUAGGAAGCAGUGGGGAAUAUUGCACAAUUGGCGCAAGCCUGAUGCAGCCAUGCCGCGUGUAUGAAGAAGGCCGUCGGGUUGUAAAGUACUUUCAGCGGGGAGGCGUUACCCGCAGAAGAAGCACCGGCUAACUCCGUGCCAGCAGCCGCGGUAAUUC
rnacentral:rRNA from 1 species